GAACAAGGUGUUGCUGCUGCGUCUCAUGCCAUGGAACAAAAGCCAGAAGUUACACACUCGUGAAUUGGCCAUUCUAAGUCACCGCUACACCAUGGCCACUGAUGUUCCUGCCCUUGGUCUAGAUAUUGCUGGCGUCAACUAUGUCGUAAAUUAUGACUUGCCAACUGAAAUUGAAGAGAAUGUUCAUCGUGUUGGUCGAACGGGCUGAGUGGGAAAUGUCGGAAAAUUAAUAAGGUUCUUUGACGAAGAAGAGAAGCGCCUAACGCUGGAAAGUUUGUGUCUUUGUUAACUUGGUCCAACGCCGGGUGCACCGCUAUUCAUGCAAGCGAUGUUUUAUUUCAUUAAUCUUUGCGAAAUGGAUGGGAGAGAGUGGACGACGGAAUAGCACAGCUGCCCAACUUCCGAAUGGUGCAAUAUGCGUCUUACGCUUCCAAUUCCGGAUUGUGUUGUCGCAACAGGAUGGUUGAGCACGUUUCUCGGCUAUUUUGCUUUGUGUUACUUAUCUGUUUUAAUAUUUGCUUUUCUUUGUAAAUAUGUGAAGUUAUUAGCUUUUAAGUUCUCGAAAAAAUUACACAGAUAAGUGUUGAGGGGGUGGGGGAGGGUAGUGUGAUGUAAAUAUGAAAAUAAUUUGUUCGGUAGAUUGAGGUAGGUGGUGCUAAUCAAACCGUAACUUGCGUGGUGGCAAUGUUGGAUUAGGGAGUUGGUUAAUUUAGUAAAGUUUCCAACUUUUGUAGGCUGAAGGUGAGGUAGGGUAGAUUCAAGGAUAACGAACGUUAACAUCAUUUACCCCGACGCAUCUACCACAUGUUUCUUUCAUGCAAUAGGUAAAUGUGUGUAA